UAGGGAAUAUUGGACAAUGGGGGCAACCCUGAUCCAGCCAUGCCGCGUGAGUGAAGAAGGCCCUCGGGUUGUAAAGCUCUUUUGUCCGGAAAGAAAAGCAUUCGGUGAAUACCCGGAUGUUCUGACGGUACCGGAAGAAUAAGCACCGGCUAACUUCGUGCCAGCAGCCGCGGUAAUACGAAGGGUGCAAGCGUUACUCGGAAUUACUGGGCGUAAAGCGUGCGUAGGUGGUUGUUUAAGUCUGAUGUGAAAGCCCUGGGCUCAACCUGGGAAUGGCAUUGAAACUGGGCAGCUAGAGUGCGGUAGAGGGUAGUGGAAUUCCCGGUGUAGCAGUGAAAUGCGUAGAGAUCGGGAGGAACAUCUGUGGCGAAGGCGACUGCCUGGACCAGCACUGACACUGAGGCACGAAAGCGUGGGGAGCAAACA
rnacentral:rRNA from 1 species